rnacentral:rRNA from 1 species
AUUGAACGCUGGCGGCAGGCUUAACACAUGCAAGUCGAGCGAGCGGCGGACGGGUGAGUAAUGUCUGGGAAACUGCCUGAUGGAGGGGGAUAACUACUGGAAACGGUAGCUAAUACCGCAUACCAUCAGAUGUGCCCAGAUGGGAUUAGCUAGUAGGUGGGGUAAUGGCUCACCUAGGCGACGAUCCCUAGCUGGUCUGAGAGGGUGACCCAGCACACUGGGACUGAGAAACGGGCCCGAAUCCUCAGGGGGGGAGCAGGGGGGAAUAUUGCACCAAGGGCGCAAGCCUGAUGCAGCCAUGCCGGGUGUUUGAAGAAGGCCUUCGGGUUGUAAAGCACUUUCAGCGAGGAGGCGUUACUCGCAGAAGAAGCACCGGCUAACUCCGUGCCAGCAGCCGCGGUAAUAC